rnacentral:rRNA from 1 species
UACAGAGGUCUCAAGCGUUGUUCGGAUUCAUCGGGCGUAAAGGGUGCGUAGGUGGCGCCGUAAGUCGGGUGUGAAAUUUCGGAGCUUAACUCCGAAACUGCAUUCGAUACUGCGGUGCUUGAGGACUGGAGAGGAGACUGGAAUUCACGGUGUAGCAGUGAAAUGCGUAGAUAUCGUGAGGAAGACCAGUGGCGAAGGCGGGUCUCUGGACAGUUCCUGACACUGAGGCACGAAGGCCAGGGGAGCAAACGGG